AUUAAAUUUAUUCUUUUUAGAUGGAAGUCUUUCGGGAGGCAAAGAGUUACUGUGCUUAUUUAUUGAUUCAUCCAUUCAUUCAACAAAUAUUCAUUUACACGGCAGACAACCCUAUGCUAAGCAUGGAAUACAUGGUGAUAAGGGGAAUAGAUACACUUCCUGCCCUGGAGCUCAGAGCCUGUAGAAACCAAAGAAAUUCUUCCUGCCAAAUGCUUCCUCUGACCUUCCGCAGUGUUGUCAAGAGUAAGAGUUACAUCCUCUGUGGUGGAACAGUAUCAUCAUUUGUGGCCAGUUUCUUCCAUUUCAAUGCAAUAGUCUAGAACAAUACUUGGCACACAGUGGGAUCUCAAUAAUUAUUUGAUGGAAGUAAAAGGAAGUGCACUGGCUGGGUCACUUCUAGUGCUGUGUCAUACUUCCCCUGCUCUCAGGAAUCUACAGUUUCAUCAGAGACUUAGCUGUGCCUACCCUCAAGUGGAAACAAGAUAAUGUGAGGACUUUGCCAACAACCUGGAAACAUUCUGCAGGGCUUUGCAGCAGGGGAGAUGCUGAAGGAGGGGCAAACACAAAUUUGCAGAGCAUCUUUUCAUUGAACUUUGCUCCUUCCUUGCCUGUGACACCUUCUGAAGCCUUUUCCAGUUCUGGCCUAAGGAAUCCAAGGGACAGGUGGGUCCCAGCCUCUCUCCUGCCUGAGGAAGUGGGAUUUAGCUCCUAAAAGAAGAGAAUAAUGCCUUCUGGAAGAUCUGGAGUCCUUACCAGGGCACUGACGCCAGUGCUGGUGUCUAAUAUUUAAGAUGCCAAUGUCCUUGCAAAGCAGCCAGUACCUUUCUUCCUGCCAAAUCUACUGACUACACUGCUGUUGAUUUGAUGGUAUUGUUUUGGGAUCUGAGUCUCAUGGGAAACUUGUGAAAUAGUCCUUUUAGAUUUUCUGCUUGUGACUGCAGUUUUUUCUUUUUGGGGCUCAGGCAUCAAUCCAUAGAGGCUGGAAUGAAGGAUAAUCUGAGUGGCACAUACUGCACUGCUACAAUUAGAACUCCUCUUCUCUUACUGACUCGAAGAGUCCUAGGAACCCUUGCAUCUUACAGAUUGACUUAUUUCCCAGGAUAUUUCUAGACUACUCAUGCAAUUAGAUUACUGAGGGCCCGGGCCACUAGCCCUUAAAACCUGCCCAGACAUGUGUGAAUCAGAGGGUGAAAACAGCACAGGUUCA